GUGUCGUGAGAUGUUGGGUUAAGUCCCGCAACGAGCGUAACCCUCACCCUUAGUUGCCAGCGGGUAAUGCCGGGGACUUUAAGGGAACUGCCAGUGGUAAGCUGGAGGAAGGUGGGGAUGAUGUCAAGUCAGCAUGGCCCUUAUGGGGUGGGCUACACACGUGCUACAAUGGUGACUACAAUAGGUUGCAAUGCCGUAAGGCUGAGCUAAUCCGUCAAAAGUCAUCUUAGUUCGGAUUGUCCUCCGCAACUCGAGGGCAUGAAGUAGGAAUCGCUAGUAAUCGUGGAUCAGCAUGCCACGGUGAAUACGUUCUCGGGUCUUGUACGCACUGCCCGUCACGCCAUGGGAAUUGGCUUAACUCGAAGCUGGUGCGCCAACCGAAAGGAGGCAGCCAUUUAAGGUUGGGUCAGUGACUAGGGUGAAGUCGUAACAAGGUAGCUGUAGGUGAACCUGC
rnacentral:rRNA from 1 species